rnacentral:rRNA from 1 species
UACAGAGGGGGCAAGCGUUGUUCGGAAUUACUGGGCGUAAAGCGUGCGUAGACGGUUAUUUAAGUCGGGUGUGAAAGCCCCGGGCUCAACCUGGGAAUUGCAUUCGAGACUGAAUAGCUAGGGUACGGUAGAGGGAAGUGGAAUUUCCGGUGUAGCGGUGAAAUGCGUAGAUAUCGGAAGGAACAUCAGUGGCGAAAGCGACUUCCUGGACCAGUACCGACGUUCAGGCACGAAAGCGUGGGGAGCAAACGGG